rnacentral:rRNA from 1 species
ACAGCAGCAGCCGCGGUAAUACGGAGGAUCCAAGCGUUAUCCGGAAUCAUUGGGUUUAAAGGGUCCGUAGGCGGUCUUAUAAGUCAGUGGUGAAAUCUCCCCGCUCAACGGGGAAACGGCCAUUGAUACUGUAGGACUUGAAUUAUUAGGAAGUAACUAGAAUAUGUAGUGUAGCGGUGAAAUGCUUAGAGAUUACAUGGAAUACCAAUUGCGAAGGCAGGUUACUACUAAUGGAUUGACGCUGAUGGACGAAAGCGUGGGUAGCGAACAGGAUUAGAUACCCGCGUAGUCCCUGUCUCUUAUAC